rnacentral:lncRNA from 10 species
CAAUUGGGACCAGCCUGGUUCACUGAAGUAAGAGUCCAGGAAAGAUGAGCGUUUUUAUUUACCUGAGUGAGUCUCUGGUUUAGUGUUUCUUCUUAAACACUGAGUUCACAGGGCUCUUAAAGCAGACCGGAGUCGCAGAAAAGGGCACUGGACAGAGUCAGUCCACAAGUAUCUGCUGAGGUCCUACUAUGCGUCAGACACUGUUCAGGCACAGGGUUGUGCUGAAGACGAGAGCAACAACAUCCCAAAGCUCUGUCAUGUUGGUGGAUGUGUCAUGCUGGUGGGGGAAAGACAGAGAAGAGUCAGGUAAACAUGUAAGUACCUUUAGACACUGGUCACUGCUUACAGAAAAUACAGUCGGGUGAGAUCAUGGUCCCUUGAAGGGCAGACAGAAUCAGCAGACUUGGGGUCCAGCUUCCAUCCAGCAAGAACUGUGUGACAUGGAACACGACUCUCCCCUCUCCUGGAUUUCACUUUCCUCAGCUGCACAAAGACAGCGCUGGACCCAGUCACCUGGUGCCACCUUCUAGCCAUAGAAAAAGCACACAGGAGGUGCAGACACAAUGUUCUGUGACUAUUUCUUCCCAGAGUUCCUGUUCUACGGUUGCAGCCUCUAGGAAGGGAGAUAUUGAUUAAAAGUCCUUCAACCAAAGGCCAAAGCUCUAGAGAACACAGAACAGCAGGAAGAGGAACCCAGCCUUGAGACCAAUAUAUUUUAUAUAAAUUCAAAGCAACUUUGUGCUCUCUGGGCCUUUGCUGCCAGCCCAAGUGAGAGGAAAGUCAGAUGAUUCUCCAGGUUUGGGAAGCUAGGCUCCCACGGCCAGAAACUGCCGGGCAAGGCAGAGGCCCGAGACCUGGGGAGGAAGGUGGAGGGAGGCGGCGCUGGAGGAGAGGAUGGCAGGAGCUUCCUAGGCCCUUGGGAACCAGGGUCUGCCACAACCCCCGUCAGCUGAACAGGCUCCCCUUCCACGUGUGACCUCCCAGCUCCACCACAUUAAUCCCUCAUGGCACGGCCCCGCCACAAACAGGGCCAGCAGAUCUCGUUUGCUGAACACUCCCAGGACCAACCCGAAAGGGGACCUGAGUUCAGGCACCACCAAGAAAAUCCUGCUUUGCAAACAGGACCAGUUUAGCCCUGGAGAACCAGAGGUGGCAGGAAGGAGUGGAGAGGAUCUCCGCCUUCCCCUCCCUCAAAGGAAAGUGACUCCUACAAUUUCUUUCUUUUUUUAAAUUCACAGGUUCACGUGCCAUUUAGAAAGUGGGUUCAGUGCCUGGGGACUUGACCCUGAGCAUUAUGGACUCCAACAGCGGUAGGAUUGUGAAGUUUAAUCAAUGAUGAGAUUUUCCCACCUCAGCCUGACAGGAAUGACACUCAGCUGAGAAGAUGGCAGUGGUGCUUUUCCUUUAGGGGAAGAAAGGAGGGCCCCCGGAAACCGUCUGUCCUAUCUGAUUCAUGCUCAUUCAUAAUGCAGCAGGCUUAGGAGCCGCAAAUAACAUACUAGUGCAAGAAGGCAAGCCAGUCAGGCAGUCUCAUAUAUCACUGCUCCAUCUGUCACACUGACACAAGGAUUCAAGCUACUGAGGCCUGUGGCUCUUCACAGGGAGUUGAGAUGGCAAGAAGCAGAGGCAACUUGGGGGAGAUGCCCAUUUUAGGGUUUUGAUGAAAGCGGAGUGAAAUAAUGCUCAGUAUAAUAGUCAGACACAGUAAGACUGAGUGCCAACCAUGUGACAGGCACUGUGACAGGCUCAAGGAAUCAAAUAUCAGAUCAAAUAAGACGCUGGCAUGGGUGGACCUCAAGGACGCAUUUACCUGGGAAGGCCCCUGGCAGGUGCCCAGUGCCAAGUACAAAGUGCAAUAAACGCAACUUAAAGUCCUGACGUUCCCAGAUCUAGGAUGACCCAGGAGUCCAAUGGGAAAGUCCGAAGGGCAGCCACAAGCCAGCAAGGGACCGCUUCCUUUUUCUCCUCUCCACAGCCCAAGGAAACACUCCCUUGGAAUCGUAGAAAGGACUAAAGAUUUCUCCAUUUUACAACCAACAGACAUUAAGCAAUAUGAAAGAAAUGCUUCCCUGGACUUAAAGUAAGGACUGGAGAUGUGCUGAUUUUGUACCUAAAAUAGAUGGAGAUUCCUGGGAAAUUUUGGCCUGAGAUCCUGAACCAUCUGGCCAUGCCCUAAGCCUUUGCCUUUGCUGGCAGCAAAUACGUUCCAAGCUCCUCUAAAAAUUUGUCAGUCAAGCAUUGAUACAUUUACAGGGAGAGUGAGAAAAAAUAUUACUGAGUUUGGGAGACUAAGGCCUUAACUCUGACUUUGAAAGUCUCACUAGGAUUUCUUAUGGGCCUUGGGGCUUGGUUUAUUUUCAAAGGCGACCACUUCAAGCUGCACCCAGAGAGAAGCUCAGGUCGCACAGCGCCGAGUUUCUGAGAAGUUCUUAUGUUUCAGAGAACGGGCUCCGGAGUUUGCAAGAUGUGGAUUUGAAUCCCAGAUCCACCACUUGCUUUUUGCUCAUUUUCUCACCUCCCCAGGAGGGUCGGGACGAUCAUGAGAUAAUGCAAUAUGUCCGGUAGGUAAAGCCCCCAAUACAAGCCGUCCUCUUCUUUCCCUCAGGCACGUGGGCCAGGACAACAAAGAGAAUUGUCUGCUGGCAAAGGCAGCUGUGGCAGAGUCUGCUACGAUGGCCACCCCCAGGAGCUCUCUCUGCCAUGGCCAGGGAGUACUGGGGCAGUCCCAGAAGGCAAAACCAGUGAGAGGGGCUAGGACCCCAUGGCUGCCUAGGGGACUCCUCAGGAAAAACCAAAGCUGGAGUGGCCCUGAGGAAGCUCUGGAGUGACUGAGGACCUAGUGAUUUUGGGGACAUGGGGCUUUCCAUGCUCAAGACAGGACAGUCUGGGGCAAACCCCACAUAUCAGCCACUCCAGCAGCUUUCGUCUUCCUGGGGGUAGCUGGGGCAUGCUGCUUAAGGACGGUCACUCCUAGAACAGCGUCUAGGAUGAAGAAAUACGGCUCAUGAGGACAUUUAAAACAACAAACCUGAUCUCACUGCCACCGGGGCCACAGAACCCCACAUGGGUGGAUGGGGCAGGCUGAGGCCGCUCAGUGGGGUGCUGGAAAGCUGGGAGGCAGGUCAGGGGCCUGCUCUGGGAGACUUCUUUUCUUUCUGUUUCCUCCUUUUUUCAUUCAAAUCUCCACCUUCAAGGGAGGGGGCCUUGGACAGCUGUACCCUCAUGAAAGUAAAGAGUAGCUCUUUCCGGUCUGCCACCAGGAAGCAAAGGAUUAGGGGACCCCACACAGCUUCCUUUGGGGGCUGGUGGGAACAGCCAGCACUCUUUUGGGCUGAGUCACAUGGAGGUCCCGUGCGUCCUCCCCUUUUCCUGCCUGAGCCAUGAUUUGCCCGUGGCCAAUGUGUGGCCUGUGGAAUUGGCACUGGGCAAGCCUGCGGCUGGGUCCCAAGGCUCCUGCUCUAGGCAGGCAUCUGCUCUCUUGCCUGGCUUUCCUGCUUGUUCUCUUCUCCCUGGCCUCUUCAACCUCUGAUAAAUAAGUCCCUUUCUCCUCCACUCUUUACCCCACUUUCAUUUCUUUCUCUUCCAUCUCCGUGUCCUGAGGAAUAAAGGAGGGCCUAGGCAGCUCCCUGGCCCCAUGCCUUCUCCCUGCCCAAGAAGUUCUUAAAUGUUUAAGGGAAAGAUGGUUUUUCACAAAGGAAAUGUUCACUCCUCCACUGGACUGUGAGUUCCACGAGGUCAGGGACUGUGUUUUCCCUGCCCCUUGCUGUCUCCUGGUAUUGGGCAUGUAAACAUGUGUUCAUGGAUUAUACAAAUAAAAAAGAAGACUGCUUUUAACAAGGGUGGCCUCUGAGGACAAGUGACGUAGAGAGAGAAGGAGAAGAUGUUAAAACUUUUUAUUUAUUUACAAUUUCCUUCUCUUAAAAAUGUUGACUUUGGUCAGGCCUUCUGGCCAAGUGGAAUGUAGCCUGAGGUCAUUGUCAGGGUCUUCUCAAGAGAUGGAUGUUGCAGGAGGGGCUGCUUCACCUCCAGUUCCCAUGGGAGCUCCACUUAUACAGGGAGAGAAAUCAGGGAAAUGAGAAGCAAGGAAGUGGGAGGAAGGUGCACAUUUAGAUGAAUUUUCUCUAUCACUCCAUCUAGCCAGCAUGUAAGCUUUGUCUGUCCUGGUUCAGAAAAGCUGGUUUCUCUCCAGAAUCCAGAGGAGGGAAGGAAGGAGCUAAUUUUAUUCAGCAUCUACUGUGUGUCAUGCACAUCACAUAAUUUAUAUCACUGAUUCAUAAGAAUCUAGUUUGAUUGUGAUCCUUAUUAAACAGAUGAAGUUCAAUAAUUCACCUAAAGUCAUGCCCACGAGAGGGAAACCCGGGAUUUAAACUGACCUUCCUACGCUUAAGCCUGUCACCCUCCUUCCAUUAUGUUAUGCUACCUGUGGUUACAAAUAUAAAGAAAAAAUCAGUUGCCAGAGUAGAAGAGGGUAAGGGGGAAGCAUCCUCUAAAAGUUGGAUGAGCCUCACAGGCAUAUGAACAAUGCUGGACGUAAGUGGGUACUUACUGUAGGAUCCUAUUUAUAUGAUGCUCAAGAACAGGCAAAACUAACCUAGGAUGCUGGAAAUGAGAACAGUGUUUGUCUCUGUGGGUGGGGAUUGAUUGAAAAAGGACAGGAGAGAGCUUCACUGGGAUAAUGGAAUUCUUCUAUAUUUUAUUUGGGUGAUGGCAGGAAUAGUGUUUGUAGGAAC